CCACUUGUGGCUUAAUAACCCCAAUUUUUGUUGUUUUUUUGCUUGUCAGGACAGUGUUAAUCUGUGGCGUCUACUCUCGACCAGCAAGAACGACAUGACCACCAGUUCUUCUAACAGCAGUUUAUUCAGCAUGCUUCAAUCUUCAUCUCUCUCACUUCAUCUUUUUUUCUCCCCCGAACCCUGGGCCUCUCGCUCUUAUAUACUCUCAGCCCCCAUCCACUCACGGCAGGCGACGUCACCUCACCAGGCACGCAGCUUCAGCUAAUCAGGGUGGCAGGGGCACAUCUCCACCAAAUAUGGACUUAUCUACACCACCAGCAUCAUGGUGCACCUGCGCAGCUCUCAUGAUGGUCGUGGCUAUUUUCAGGUGUAUGAGGAAGUCAGGUGCAAGUCAUAAGACUUAGCUGCAGUCCCAGGUGCCAUCUUGGGACUGCUGCCACACCCACUCCUCUCAUCUCCCCCUUUUUUCUUUUUUGGCAGAGAGAAUGUCUGUCUUAGAUUGCCCCCUGCAGCAAUGCCCCUUACCCGUCCUUGGGAGACAAACAGCAUUGGUUUGAUCCCUGUCUUUGGUUGGUGACAGGCCCAAGGAGUCUUAUCCGUCAUUGACUACUUCUCUAUCAUGCCAAGCCACACUUGAGCAGAUUGUCCUGUCUGCAUGCGGCAGGCGCACCAGAAGGGCAGGACGCUGAUUAAUCUAUGGCCCGAUUUUGAUUGCUACAAGCAAGCCUCAUGGGUGAAGGUAGAGGUCUGAUCCCCAGUGUGCAAGCAUAGGGGCCCUACACAAAACCAUCCCUUGGGCUCAUCACCCAGAGAGGUUUUGGCCAGCUCCUGUGUCCUUUUUCCUGGGGGAAGGGAACUAGGACACUGAACCUUCAUGCAAUCAGACGUGCCUUCCACAGGAUGCCAGUAGCAAGCUCCUCUGUGCAGUGCUUAGCCUCGCAACCCAUGGCAUAACGCAGCAUUAUUUCUUUAGAGCAGCAAGCCAAAUCUGAGGAGAUUGUCCUGCCUCCACUGCGGCAAAGGCUUGCGCCACCAUGGCAGAAGUGCGGGCCUGCACACGCUGCACCCAACACAUACACCAAACACACAACACACACACUAUUACAAGCAUACAUCCCAGGGCUCCCAUCAACACUGAGGCAAGGGAUCAGUGCAACUACCAUUCACCCCACAUAACAACCAUACAUAUAAGGGGCACUGCCCAAGGUGGAAGGGAAUCAGGAACACUCCUACAAAAAGGAAGGGGGCCCAUCUAGGUUAGGAGGGUAUAGUGCCAUUGCCCUUGGAUAUACUGGCAGGUCACACCCCUCGAAUCCAGGUAGCAUUAGCUUUAGUAGAUACAGCUGAACACAAUCACUCAUCUGUGAAAUAUUUUGAAUCAUCUGAAAACACAACAAUCCCUUUAGCUGAAGCAGCAUAGAAAAAAAGGCAAUUGUAGUGAAGCAUUAGAUGUAAAGAAUUGAGGAAACACUUGAAUGCAUCAAUGGCAUUGAUUUCAGGAACAUAGACAUAAUUCCCCAAUGCAGCUCUUCAGUUCUCACUAGCGGGAGCAUUCCCAGCCACAGGAACAUCCAUGUCCUCAUAGCUCUGCUUGUUUUGAAUUGCUCUGGUCAACCGUUCUGGGACCCACAGCUGUUGUCGAUGAUCCUGAGGAAACAAACAAACAGACCCUCUCUCCCAAACCAAACAAUUGAUUCACACAUCUAUUUUCCUUUCCUUUCCUCUCUUUCCUUUCCUCUUUCCUUUCCUCUCUUUCCUUUCCUUUCCUUUCCUUUCCUUUCCUUUCCUUUCCUUUCCUUUCCUUUCCUUUCCCUUUCCCUUUCCUUUCCUUUCCUUUCCUUUCCUUUCCUUUCCUUUCCUUUCCUUUCCUUUCCUUUCCUUUCCUUUAACUUGUCCCAAAACCGGGAACCUUAUCGUCUCAAUCCGAGAACUUAAAUUGUCCCACUUACCCGGGAACCUUACCCUGCCAGCAAACACUGACUGCUCAAAGUUCUAAACUCAUUGGUGGGAGAGUCGGUUCUCUGUAUGGGCCACCAUUUGUCGCGUCAGCUCUCGACCAGCAAGAACGACACGAUCACCAGUUCUUCUAACAGCAGUUUAUUCAGCAUGCUUCAAUCUUCAUCUCUCUCACUUCAUCUUUUUUUCUCCCCCCAAACCCCUGGCCUCUAACUCAGAAAACUCAGAGAUCCUCCUUCCUCUAUCUCCUGAGUGGUGGGGUUAAAGGUAUGCACCACCACCUGGCUCCUCUAAAUUGUUUUAAGUAUUAAAUUUGACUUAAUUUACUGUGUGUGGGUGUUUUUCUUGCUUGUACAUCUAUACCAUCUGUGUGCCUGGUACCCACUAAGGCCAAAAGAGGGCAUCAAACCCCUGAACUGGAGUUAUGGACAGUUGUGAGCUUCGAUGUGAAUGCUGAGAGCUGGACCUGGGUAGGCUGCAAGGUCAGUCACUGCUCUUAACCCCUGAGCUAUAUCUCCAGCACCUCCAAAGGUUUUAUUUUUUUAAGUGCUAUUUUUAUUAUUUUAAAUUAUGUGUAUGUAUUUGUAUCUGUGUGGAUGUUAUGUAUUUGCAGAGGUGUGAGGGCUGGAUCUCCUGGAGCUGGAUUUACAGGCAUUUGUAAGCCUCCCAAUUUGUGUUGGGAACUGAACGUAGGUGCUCUGGAAGAACAACAAAUGCUCUUAACUGCUGAGCCAUCUCUCCAGCCCUUCUAAAAGUUUCUUGUGUGCUUUUGCAGUCUGUUUCUCCCUUUACCCUGUCCCUAAGCACUGGUGACCUGUAACUGUACAGAGGUUUACCUGUUCUACAAUUUUAUAUAAAUUAAGUCACAUCUCACUCCC
rnacentral:lncRNA from 1 species